UGAACCCUGGGGUAUGCAGGAACCAAGUCCACUUGGACCUUGGUCCAAAGCCUCCAAUCAGACCUGAAGAUGGAAGCAAGCUUUUGUCCAACGAGAAUUGAACAUUGCAGCCAAACAUUGAUGAAUCAAAAGGAACCAACGCGAAAGAACACGAAAAUCCCCUUUGAAGAGGAUUCUACAAUUUCCGUGAUUCCGUCGCCGAUCCCGCUUGCCUCUGACGUCCACAUCAUUGCAUCCCCACCAUAGUUCACCGUCGGGCCUUGUUUACGCGGACUGCAUCAAUGCGUUCGAUCUCGUCGUGGCGUCUAGCUUCGUUUGGGAACCAAGGAUACUUCGUGUACGGAAUCCCCCACAACAUCGACGUCGCGGAUUGUGCGUCCUCACAUCUCUGCUACCGUAUGCUACAUACAGAAGAAACGGCGUCGAGGGCGAAAUGAAGAACUUACCGAAUCGAAUCUCCGGUUGCAACCAGUUGUGGUUGUCAUAUCCAUAUGCGUGUUGUGAGUGUCGCUCGGUUAUGCUUAUGAGAGAGUUUGGAAUGAAUGAAGAACCGAAAGUGCAGAGUGAAUUUUGAAGCGGGAAGUUUUGAAGACUCCUUGAAGAAGAUCCAAUUCUACAUUAAGGUUCAGUGUUAUUUAUGAAGCAAUCUUGUUUUUUACUCUAUUGGAAAAGUUCUACAUGUGGAGGCAAUCAAGCCUAAAAUUAUAGUCAUCCCAAUCCAAGGCUAAUGUAAUGAUAUAGGACUAUGCUUGUAUGCAUUUGUGAUAGAAUUUAAAUUGUGCAUUAGUAGAAAUUGUAAUUUUUGUAAUAAUUUGUGAAUUGUAUUGUAAUUUGAAUGUGAAAUGAUAAUUUGAAUGAUUGAGUACAA